UUUCCCCCCGUUAUAUAGCAAAGAUCACGAAAAGGCCCGAAAAAGUACAUUUAGUUCAAAAUUUGGAGUAGAAAGAAAAACAAUAGAAGAAUUCCAUUUUCCUUCGUCAUUCAUCUGAGAGCUCUCUUUAGGCUUUCCGAAAAGGUAUCACAUGCCAAGUUUGGCCUCACGGUCUAAAAGUUAUAGAGUCAUACAUUUUUAACAAAACAAAAUAGAGAAAAACCGAAAAAGAGGGAUUUAAGACGAGGACUUUCUGAGAGGUAACCCAUCCGAGUACUACACUCGCCCAAGCACCCUUAACUACGGAGUUCUGAUGGGAUACGGUGCAUUAGUGCUGGUUUGAUCGCAUGUGUUACUACAUGCAAUGUAAUCGUAUCUAUUCUUUUUUAAAGACUUUAUGAUCCAUUUGCCGUGGGUGCCACCAACUAUGUAGGAUUAUCCUAUAUUCUUUAUAAGAUCUU
rnacentral:sRNA from 1 species